GACGAACGCUGGCGGCGCGCCUAACACAUGCAAGUCGAACGAGAAAGAGGGAGCUUGCUCCCUUGAUCGAGUGGCGAACGGGUGAGUAACGCGUGAGUAACCUGCCCUAGAGUGGGGGACAACAGUUGGAAACGACUGCUAAUACCGCAUAAGCCCCACGGUACCGCAUGGUACUGAGGGAAAAGGAUUUAUUCGCUUUAAGGAUGGACUCGCGUCCAAUUAGCUAGUUGGUGAGGUAACGGCCCACCAAGGCGACGAUUGGUAGCCGGACUGAGAGGUUGAACGGCCACAUUGGGACUGAGACACGGCCCAGACUCCUACCGGAGGCAGCAGUGGGGAAUAUUGCACAAUGGGGGAAACCCUGAUGCAGCGACGCCGCGUGGAGGAAGAAGGUCUUCGGAUUGUAAACUCCUGUUGUUGAGGUAAGAUAAUGACGGUACUCUAACAAGGAAGUGAACGGCUAACUACGUG
rnacentral:rRNA from 1 species